CUGUCCGAGGGGCGCUGCAGCAGGUUUUCCUGUCAGGCUCGGAUGGGGCGUUGUUCGAUCGGGUUGUCCCUGUCGAACCUUAAACGCACAACGGCGCCCAUUCGCA
rnacentral:ncRNA from 1 species